AAUAGAUACCCGGGUAGUCCACGCCGUAAACGAUGAGUGCUAAGUGUUAGAGGGUUUCCGCCCUUUAGUGCUGCAGCUAACGCAUUAAGCACUCCGCUUGGGGAGUACGGUCGCAAGACUGAAACUCAAAGGAAUUGACGGGGGCCCGCACAAGCGGUGGAGCAUGUGGUUUAAUUCGAAGCAACGCGAAGAACCUUACCAGGUCUUGACAUCCUCUGACAACUCUAGAGAUAGAGCGUUCCCCUUCGGGGGACAGAGUGACAGGUGGUGCAUGGUUGUCGUCAGCUCGUGUCGUGAGAUGUUGGGUUAAGUCCCGCAACGAGCGCAACCCUUGAUCUUAGUUGCCAGCAUUUAGUUGGGCACUCUAAGGUGACUGCCGGUGACAAACCGGAGGAAGGUGGGGAUGACGUCAAAUCAUCAUGCCCCUUAUGACCUGGGCUACACACGUGCUACAAUGGAUGGUACAAAGGGCUGCAAGACCGCGAGGUCAAGCCAAUCCCAUAAAACCAUUCUCAGUUCGGA
rnacentral:rRNA from 1 species